rnacentral:rRNA from 1 species
AUCUGGAAAGCAAAAAUACCCCUGAAAAUUCAGAUUUUUCUUUGGCAAUUGUUUCAAGAUGCCAUUCUGACUAGAGAGGUCAUGAAAAAAAGAAAUUGGCCUGGGAACCCUAGAUGCUCAUUUUGUAGGAGCAUUGAAACAUCUCAGCACCUGUUCUUUACUUGUCCAGUGGCUCGGGUAGUCUGGAGAACGGUAGGCUGUGUGCUGGGCACAGACCUAUGCCCAAAUAACAUCUGGCAAUUUUUUUUCUGGUGCUAUGUUUUUUUAUCUGAUGGAGCAAGGUUCUAUACCUUUGGACUGGCAGCCAUAAGCUGGGCUAUCUGGAAUAGCCGUAACCAAGCUACUUUUGAGCAUAAACAACUUAAAACACCAUUUAAUGUGGUAUACUCUGCAUGUGGUUUUUUGACAUACUGGGCAGGCUUGAUGACUGGUGCUGAUAGGGAGGCAAUGGAGCGUGGUGCCAAGAUGCUCAAGACGAACGCUUCGGCAAUGAUGAGAAUUUGCGCAGCUCCAGCCAGGGCGACGAUGGAUUGA